rnacentral:rRNA from 2 species
CGCCGGGUAGCUAUGUUCGGAAGGGAUAACCGCUGAAAGCAUCUAAGCGGGAAGCCUACCUCAAGAUAAGAUUUCCCCGAGACUUUAUGUCUCCUAAAGAGCCGUUGAAGACUACGACGUUGAUAGGUUGGAUGUGGAAGCAUAGUGAUAUGUGAAGCUGACCAAUACUAAUUGCUCGUGAGGCUUGACUAUACAACACCCAAACAGUUG